AGUCUUAUAAUGGAUCUCUCAGUCACAUCAACGCCCGAGUCUAUGGUGAUGAUAAUGUUUGUGCAAAGUGGAUGCCAAGUGACUGCACAAUCAAGGUUUCUGAGUAGUUGAAAUAGAUAAGUCUUGAGUCAAUCAGUACAUCUGUACCACAUUCAUGUGGCAAAUGCUGCUUUAUGGAGAUGUUUCUAAUACUGACCUACAAUAAUUCAGCCAAGAUCACGUUUCUACUGUCUUCAGGAAAUGAGAAAAAUGAAUCCAGGAAAUUUCCAUCUUUAACUAUACUCUGUAAAUGUGCUGUCCAAUACACAGAUAGCUACUGAGCACUGGAAUAUAGCUAGUCUGAAUGGAGAUGUUCUGUUUGACUUUUUUGGACUCCACAUGUGUGAGAUCAUGCAAUAUUUGUCUUUCUGUGCCUGGCUUAUUUCACUUAGCGUAAUGUCCUCCAGGCUCAUCCAGGUUGUUGCAAAAGGCAGGAUUUUCUUCUUUUUUAAGGCUUGGAGAGUCAUUUGUUUUCAUAAGAGAAGGACGUGUUUGCUUCCCCUUCUGCCGUGACUGUAAGUUUCCUGAGGCCUCCCCAGCCCUGCAGAACUUGAACACCGUGUACAUCAAGGAAGAUAAUUACAACUUUUUCAAGUCUUCUAAAAUCGACCUAACCUCUUAGGUUAUUUCCUGGCCUCCCUUCUGUGACCUUUGACCAAGGCCAACCUUUAGCUGGAGAAUGUGACAUUUUGUUCUCCUCUGGCUGACAUGUGAUGCUCUCAUUAUUCAAAGGAAAAGUGUUGUCAUUUGAACGUCAAGGGUUUCUCAGACCACCAGAAAAGAUUAUCUCCUUUUGAUAUCUCUGCUUAGAGGAAUACAGAAUGUGGCCACAUGUUACUCUUCUACCAAUGUCAGGAUAAAGCAUGCAUUAGGAUCCCUCAGUGGAGAACUAUGUCCAUUCCAUGCUCCUUCCAACUAGUUUGAGAAAUGGCUCCAAAUUUUCCUUAAUAUUAUUCUGAAUUGCUCUAUGAAGUAAAUGUCAGGCAUUUUAUUUCCAUUUCCCUAAAAUAGAGAAUGGGUUGCUAGGGAAAAUGCCUAAGCCAGCCAUAAAGCAUUUCCAAAGGGAGGACAUAGUGAAUAAAAAAUGUUAAUUCCUGUCUUGUUUAACAAGCUCUCAUGGCAGCUCCAAGGGGUAGUAAAAUUUAUACUCCUACCAGGACAGCUCUAGACUAUGGCAUCAGCAUGGGAUGGAAAGUAGCCCUGGGAAACAGAAUAGUGUGGUUGCCUGCUACCCUUUACUUAUCUGAAUAGUUUGUCUCUGCUGUGCCCAGGAGGUUUGCACCUCAUGGGGUGGGAGGUGGUGCAAUCAGGUAAGAAUGCUCUUUACUUACUCCUUUGUCGGAAAAAGGAUGACUGUAAUGUGUGGGCUGGAGUGGAGUGGAACUGAGUUUAAAAUCUGCAGUAACAUAAAAUUAAAGACUAGGUAUUAACAAUG
rnacentral:lncRNA from 1 species